UACGGAGGGUGCAAGCGUUAAUCGGAAUCACUGGGCGUAAAGCGCGCGUAGGUGGUUUGAUAAGUAGACUGUGAAAUCCCCAGGCUUAACCUGGGAACUGCAGUCUAAACUGUCUCACUCGAGAUCAGUAGAGGGAGGUGGAAUUCCUGGUGUAGCGGUGAAAUGCGUAGAUAUCAGGAAGAACACCGGUGGCGAAGGCG
rnacentral:rRNA from 1 species